rnacentral:rRNA from 1 species
UUGACCUCAAAUCAGGUAGGACUACCCGCUGAACUUAAGCAUAUCAAUAAGCGGAGGAAAAGAAACUAACAAGGAUUCCCUUAGUAACUGCGAGUGAAGUGGGAAAAGCUCAAAUUUGAAAUCUGGCAGUUCUUGACUGUCCGAGUUGUAAUCUAGAGAAGUGUUACCAGUGCUGGACCAUGUACAAGUCUUCUGGAAUGGAGUAUCAUAGAGGGUGAGAAUCCCGUCUUUGACAUGGACUACCAGUGCAGUAUGGUGUGCUCUCAAAGAGUCGAGUUGUUUGGGAAUGCAGCUCAAAAUGGGUGGUAAAUGCCAUCUAAAGCUAAAUAUUGGCGAGAGACCGAUAGUGAACAAGUACCGUGAGGGAAAGAUGAAAAGAACUUUGGAAAGAGAGUUAAACAGUACGUGAAAUUGCUGAAAGGGAAACGCUUGAAGUCAGUCACAUUGGCUAGAAAUCAGCCUUGCUUUUGCUGGGUGUUUUUUCUUGCUUAAUGGGUCAGCAUCAAUUUUGACUGCUGGAUAAAGUCUUUGGGAAUGUGGCAUCUUUGGAUGUGUUAUAGCCCAUUGUUGCAUACAGUAGUUGGGAUUGAGGAACUCAGCAUGCCACAAGGCCAGGUAUUAAACCAUGUUCAUGCUUAGGAUGCUGGCAUAAUGGCUUUAAUUGACCCGUCUUGAAACACGGACCAAGGAGUCUAACAUGCUUGCGAGUGUUUGAGUGGAAAACUCAUUCGCAUAAUGAAAGUGAAAGUCGAGAUCUUCAUUUGAUGAGCAUCGAUGCCCGGACCAGACCUUUUGUGACGGAUCUGCGUUUGGG